rnacentral:rRNA from 1 species
GAUGAACGCUGGCGGCGUGCCUAAUACAUGCAAGUCGAGCGAACAGACGCGGAUCUUGCUCCUCUCUCGUUAGCGGCGCACGUGUGAGACACAUGUGUAUCAUCCCCUUAUCUUUCGGGUAACUCCUCGGGACUCCGGCUAAUACCGCAUAUAAUAUCUUGCUCCGUGUUGUGCAAUAGAAAGUGUCGGCUUUGGGGUCUCGACUCGCUGCUUCUCGGCCGCUUUGGCUAGUUGUGACGGUAACGGGUUACCAAGGCGACGAUGCGUAGCCGACCUGAGAGAGUGAUAGGCCGCCCUGGAAGUGAGACACGGUCCAGAGUCCUGCGGGAGGCAGCAGUAGGGUAUCGUCCGCAAUGGGCGAAAGCCUGGCGGAGCGACGCCGCGUGAGUUAUGACGGUCUUCGGAUCGUAAAACUCUGUUAUUAGGGAAGAACCGAUGUGUAAGUAACUAUGCACGUCUUGACGGUACCUAAUCAGAAAGCCACGGCUAACUACGUG